GUUUGGCUUAUUCCAAACUAAACCUAAGUGAAUUAAGAUUUUGAGUUUUUGCAGUGUGUAGCUGUGGCGUUAGCAUUGCGCUAACAGCAUUAGCAGAAGUGUGCCCACAACUUAGCUGAUGUAAAACCUGAGUCUAAAGUUUUUACCCCCUGCCGCCUAAAACAAACAGAACCGUUUCAUCCUGCCACCUUCCCAGAUCUGGUUGCUUAUUUUUAGUCUUCUGAUUCUGAAUAUUUUUGGUAAAUUUAAAGGCUUUUUUGAUCCAGCUUGGGCAGGAUUUGUUAGGAACUGAACGAUUCUUUUCUGUUUAAACUAUCCAAACAUUUCUGAUUGUUUUUACUGGACCGGCGCUGCUGGGGGAGCUACACGGUGUUAUGAGUUCAUAUCGACUCGCUUCAUCUCUGAACUAAUAAACCCGAAGCUCUGAGGUCAACAAGAACAAAUCCAAGUCUUAACCUGCUGAACCGCGAGGGCCAAGAGGUCGGAUAAUGACACGCUUAUGCUAGGCUACAUUAGCGUUACUUAGGCUGAGCUCAGAGACGCAGCAUAACGUAAACAUACAGAUUCUGACUCAGUUUUUUAGCUGUUUUUAGUGUUUUUUAGAGCAGGGAUGUUCAAACUUACCACAAUAAAAUAAUAAUAAAA